GCACAGGUGACUUCGCUGCAGCUAUGCCAGUUUUAAGCCGCUGGGACCGGAAGUCUGUGUCUCAACUGGUGCAACAUUAUCAAAGCUGUUCUGACUUGAGAAGCAUUGGAAAAUACAACGAAACACAGGGGGAGGACCUUGUGGACGGCAGAUGGAGGGGGGGCAUUGUUGUCAGCUCCAGAGUGAGCUUGUCCCGGAGCCGGUCUAUGGACGUCCUGCCUCAGAGGGGAGUAUUCAGCACAAGAGCUCUGUGUGCGCUGUUUGAGUCAAAGAGCAUGAUGCACAGUGGCUCCAGCAUGCAGCACCUGACGACACCACCAGAGGGAGCUCUACAAGACUGGGGAAAAAACAAAAAGAACCAAUUUUAUCAA
ensembl:lncRNA